rnacentral:lncRNA from 1 species
AGAGGGAGUGCGCUGGAGAUAAAACAAAAGGGAGGGCUGAUGCCACGUCAUCGCCAGGUAAGCGGAGAGAGAGUGAAUCAGGAUGGUGUUUAACGGGAGGCGUGUCGCCGCAACGUCUGGAUCGACAACGCUUUUGGAGGGUUGCGAGUUAUAUCGGCUCGCGCAGAGAGUUCUUUCUAGUUCGCUGUCCAGCACACAAACGACGUGGGUUUCAUGAUCCGAGAGGAUCAAUCCCCCGACACUAUCCGGCUGGAAUUGACAGAGCUUUGAUCAAGGAAAAAGAAAUGGCCUUUGGAAACGGUCGAAUCCAGCUUAACAAAACUAAACAUUCAACAACCACGAUUUUA